ensembl:lncRNA
CAUGACACGCACUAAACUAAAGAUACACAGGAAAGAAGACUUCCAGAAUUGUUUCAGAAAAUUGUAAGAAAAACAGGAUGAGUGUGUUGGAAGGAAAGGUAAGAAGUAAAGCCUAAAGUUGAAUAACUUUUCCAGAGUCACAGACAGUAAGUGGCAGAGAUGGAUUUAACCAUUUCAAGCAGAGUGAAGCAGCUCUGUGCUAUAGUGAAGUGUUACAGCUCAGUGUCACACUAAGCGUCACAGCUCGGAAGGUUUUUUACCCUGUCAUCCCCAUACUGGUUCUGAUUCAUCAAGGCCAACUUUGCUUUGAUUUCCAUCCCCUGUGAUCCUGAGAUGAUUUAAAAGGUAUCCUAAAGUCUUAUGCUUUUUGGAGUGGAAAAAAGUUAAUGAAGAUUUCAAAGAUGACAGACUCUGUCUCUCACUUGCUGAGAAGCCCACAUGGCAAGAAACUGGGGCAUUAGUGAUCAAGAGGGCAACUAAAGACAUCAGCACAACAGCCAGGAAGAAACUGAAUCCUGCCAGCAUCCACCAAAUAAGCCUACAAGCAGGUACUGCCCUAAGUGACCAUGUAAAUGAUACAUACACUACUGUGAUGGUAGCCCUGAGAAAACUCCAAAACAGCUAAGCUCGGCAGUGAUUUCUGGUCCACUGUGAGACUGUGAGAUAAUAAAUGUGUGC